rnacentral:rRNA from 1 species
GAAUUUUGCGCAAUGGGCGAAAGCCUGACGCAGCAACGCCGCGUGGGGGAUGAAGGCCCUCGGGUUGUAAACCCCUUUUGCGAGGGAAGAAGAUCUGACGGUACCUCGCGAAUAAGCCACGGCUAACUACGUGCCAGCAGCCGCGGUAAUACGUAGGUGGCAAGCGUUGUCCGGAUUUACUGGGCGUAAAGCGCGCGCAGGCGGACUGGUUAGUCCGGGGUGAAAGCUCAUGGCUCAACUGUGAGUGGUCCCCGGAUACUGCCCGUCUUGAGGUGUCUAGAGGAGAGCGGAAUUCCCGGUGUAGUGGUGGAAUGCGUAGAUAUCGGGAAGAACACCGGUGGCGAAGGCGGCUAUCUGGACCGACAUUGACGCUGAGGCGCGAAAGCGUGGGGAGCAAACAGG